rnacentral:rRNA from 1 species
AGUGAACGCUGGCGGUAGGCCUAACACAUGCAAGUCGAACGGCAGCACAGUAAGAGCUUGCUCUUACGGGUGGCGAGUGGCGGACGGGUGAGGAAUACAUCGGAAUCUACUUUUUCGUGGGGGAUAACGUAGGGAAACUUACGCUAAUACCGCAUACGACCUACGGGUUAAAGCAGGGGAUCUUCAGACCUUUCGCGAUUGAAUGAGCCGAUGUCGGAUUAGCUAGUUGGCGGGGUAAGGGGCCACCAAGGCAACGGUGCGUAGCCGGUCUGAGAGGAUGAAUCAGCAACACUGAAACGGAGAAACGGUCCAGACUCCUACGGGGGGCAGCAGUGGGAAAUAUGGGACAAGGGGCGCAAGCUUGAUCAGGCCAGACGGGGGAGUGAAGAAGGUCCUUCGGGUGGUAAAGCCUUUUAGUUGGGAAAAAAAAGCAUCAGGUUAACACCCCGCCGUUCGGAGGUAACCAAAAGAAUAAGCACGGGCUAACUCCGG